ACUCAAAGGAAUUGACGGGGGCCCGCACAAGCGGUGGAGCAUGUGGUUCAAUUCGACGCAACGCGAAGAACCUUACCUGGGCUCGAAAUGUAGGAGAAUGGGGUGGAAACAUCCCCGUCCCGCAAGGGACUCCUAUAUAGGUGCUGCAUGGCUGUCGUCAGCUCGUGUCGUGAGAUGUUGGGUUAAGUCCCGCAACGAGCGCAACCCUUAUCGUUAGUUGCCACCGGGUUAAGCCGGGCACUCUAGCGAAACCGCCUCGGAUAACGGGGAGGAAGGUGGGGAUGACGUCAAGUCCUCAUGGCCUUUAUGUCCAGGGCUACACACGUGCUACAAUGCACGGUACAAACCGUCGCAAACCCGUGAGGGGGAGCUAAUCGGAAAAAGCCGUGCUCAGUUCGGAUUGGAGUCUGCAACCCGACUCCAUGAAGCUGGAAUCGCUAGUAAUCGCAGAUCAGAACGCUGCGGUGAAUACGUUCCCGGGCCUUGCACACACCGCCCGU
rnacentral:rRNA from 1 species